GAUGAACGCUGGCGGCGUGCUUAACACAUGCAAGUCGAACGGUGAAGCAGGAGCUUGCUCCUGUGGAUCAGUGGCGAACGGGUGAGUAACACGUGAGCAAUCUGCCCUGGACUCUGGGAUAAGCGUUGGAAACGACGUCUAAUACCGGAUACGAGGCGUGGGGGCAUCCCCAACGCCUGGAAAGAACUUCGGUCCAGGAUGAGCUCGCGGCCUAUCAGGUAGUUGGUGAGGUAACGGCUCACCAAGCCUACGACGGGUAGCCGGCCUGAGAGGGUGACCGGCCACACUGGGACUGAGACACGGCCCAGAGUCCUACGGGAGGCAGCAGUGGGGAAUAUUGCACAAUGGGCGCAAGCCUGAUGCAGCAACGCCGCGUGAGGGACGACGGCCUUCGGGUUGUAAACCUCUUUUAGCAGGGAAGAAGCGAAAGUGACGGUACCUGCAGAAAAAGCACCGGCUAACUACGUGCCAGCCGCCGCCGUAAUAC
rnacentral:rRNA from 1 species